rnacentral:rRNA from 1 species
UUAAGCUAAUAAGAGCGCAGGGAGGAUGCCUUGGCAUCAGGAGCCGAUGAAGGACGCGGUAAGCUGCGAAAAGCUCCGGGGAGUGGCAAGCACACUUUGAUCCGGAGAUGUCCGAAUGGAGCAAUCCACAUGAGUGAAGCUCAUGUAUCAUAUACUGAAUAAAUAGGUAUAUGAGGGGAACCGUCUGAACUGAAACAUCUAAGUAGGACGAGGAAAAGAAAUCAACCGAGAUUCCGCUAGUAGUGGCGAGCGAACGCGGAAGAGGCUAAACCAGAGUCAGCAAUGACUCUGGGGUUAGGACUGCAUUUAGUAUCAAUGAGAUCUAGUCGAAGUACAUGGGAAGGUACAUCGAAGAGGGUGAGAAUCCCGUAGACGAAAGAUCAAGUUGGCGAGCAGUAUCCAGAGUACCGCCGGACACGUGAAACCCGGUGGGAAUGCGGGGGGACCAUCCUCCAAGCCUAAAUACUACCUGAUGACCGAUAGCGCAUAGUACUGUGAAGGAAAGGUGAAAAGAACCCCGGGAGGGGAGUGAAAGAGAGCCUGAAACCCUGUGCUUACAAGCACACAGAGCACGUCAAAGUGUGAUGUGGUACCUAUUGUAGAAUGGUCCGGCGAGUUAUUUUAUGCAGCGAGGUUAAGGACUUAAGGUCUGUAGCCGAAGUGAAAGCGAGUGUUAAUAGCACGAAACAGUUGCAUGCAAUAGACCCGAAACCGGGUGACCUAUCCAUGUCCAGGCUGAAGUGAGGGUAAAACCUCAUGGAGGGCCGAACCGACUCCCGUUGAAAUGGUAGCGGAUGAGGUGUGGAUAGCGGAGAAAUUCCAAUCGAACCCGGAUAUAGCUGGUUCUCCCCGAAACCGUUUUAGGACGGGCCUCGUGUGAAGAUUAUCGGAGGUAAAGCACUGAAUAGCCUAGGGGGCGAGAGCCUACCGAAGCUUAUCAAACUCUGAAUGCCGAAUAAUCGUUUCACGGGAGUCAGACUGUGUGAGAUAAGUUUCAUAGUCAAAAGGGAAACAGCCCAGACCCACAGCUAAGGUCCCAAAGUGUAUUUAAGUGGAAAACGAUGUGAAGUUGCGUAGACAACCAGGAUGUUGGCUUAGAAGCAGCCACUCAUUAAAAGAGUGCGUAAUAGCUCACUGGUCGAGUGACUUUGCGCGGAAAAUUUAACGGGGCUAAAAUACACACCGAAGCUUGGGCUUGACGCAUUGCGUCAGGGGUAGGGGAGCGUCGUGUAAGGGGCGAAGUCGUAUCGUAAGGGACGGUGGACUUUACACGAGUGAGAAUGCCGGAAUGAGUAGCGAGAAUUAUGUGAGAAUCAUAAUGGUCGAAAGCCUAAGGUUUUUGGAGGAAGGUUCGUCCGCUCCAAGUAAGCCGGGAGCUAAGGUCAGGCGGAAACGCGUAGCCGAUGCACAUACGGUUGAAAUUCCGUAGCCUCAGAAAGAUUUAAGCAGAGGGACACUUUGAAAGGACUGUAGCCGGGUGUUGGUUACCCCGGUCGUAAGGGAACGAAAUUAAGUAGUGAAGGCAGUCUGGACGGAGGCGAGAAAAGCUCUGUGUAUAUCUGAUGAGCCCGUACCGCAAACCGACACAGGUAGGUGGGAUGAGAAUUCUAAGACCAACGGGAGAAGGGUAGUUAAGGAACUCGGCAAAUUGUCCCCGUAACUUCGGAAUAAGGGGAGCCUGCGAAAGCAGGCCGCAGAGAAUUGGCCCAGGCGACUGUUUAUCAAAAACACAGCUCUAUGCUAAAUCGAAAGAUGACGUAUAUGGGGUGACACCUGCCCGGUGCUGGAAGGUUAAGAGGAGAUGUGAGAGCAUCGAAUUGAAGCCCCAGUAAACGGCGGCCGUAACUAUAACGGUCCUAAGGUAGCGAAAUUCCUUGUCAGGUAAGUUCUGACCC